UACGGGGGGAGCAAGCGUUGUUCGGAUUUACUGGGCGUAAAGGGCGCGUAGGCGGCCACCGCAAGUCGACUGUGAAAUCUCCGGGCUUAACCCGGAAAGGUCAGCCGAUACUGCGGGGCUAGAGUGCAGAAGGGGCAACUGGAAUUCUCGGUGUAGCGGUGAAAUGCGUAGAUAUCGAGAGGAACACCUGCGGCGAAGGCGGGUUGCUAGGCUGACACUGACGCUGAAGCGCGAAAGCCAGGGGAGCAAACGGG
rnacentral:rRNA from 1 species